AUUGAACGCUGGCGGCAUGCUUUACACAUGCAAGCCGAACGGUAACAGGCCGCAAGGUGCUGACGAGUGGCGAACGGGUGAGUAAUGCAUCGGAACGUGCCCAGUCGUGGGGGAUGACUGCUCGAAAGAGCAGCUAAUACCGCAUACGAUCUACGGACGAAAGCGGGGGACCGUAAGGCCUCGCGCGAUUGGAGCGGCCGAUGUCAGAUUAGGUAGGUGGUGGGGUAAAGGCUCACCAAGCCAACGAUCUGUAGCUGGUCUGAGAGGACGACCAGCCACACUGGGACUGAGACACGGCCCAGACUCCUACGGGAGGCAGCAGUGGGGAAUUUUGGACAAUGGGGGCAACCCUGAUCCAGCAAUGCCGCGUGCAGGAAGAAGGCCUUCGGGUUGUAAACUGCUUUUGUACGGAACGAAACGGUCUGGGUUAAUACCCUGGGCUAAUGACGGUACCGUAAGAAUAAGCACCGGCUAACUACGUGCCAGCAGCCGCCGUAACAC
rnacentral:rRNA from 1 species